UCCAGGCACCUGGAGCCCCAAGCAGCUCCACGGGAUAGGGACUGGGCAGGAAAGUCUGGCGGUUCACGUGACUCUUCAAACAUCUCUGCAGAGAAAGCGGCACUAUUGGCGCCUGGACUGCAAGUGUAUCACGCUCUUCCAGAACAACACGACCAACAGAUACUAUAAGGAAAUUCCACUGUCAGAAAUCCUCACGGUGGAGUCCGCCCAGAACUUCAGCCUUGUGCCGCCGGGCACCAACCCACACUGCUUUGAGAUCGUCACUGCCAAUGCCACCUACUUCGUGGGCGAGAUGCCUGGCGGGACUCCGGGUGGGCCAAGUGGGCAGGGGGCUGAGGCCGCCCGGGGCUGGGAGACAGCCAUCCGCCAGGCCCUGAUGCCCGUCAUCCUUCAGGACGCACCCAGCGCCCCAGGCCACGCGCCCCACAGACAAGCUUCUCUGAGCAUCUCUGUGUCCAACAGUCAGAUCCAAGAGAAUGUGGACAUUGCCACUGUCUACCAGAUCUUCCCUGACGAAGUGCUGGGCUCAGGGCAGUUUGGAGUGGUCUAUGGAGGAAAACACCGGAAGACAGGCCGGGACGUGGCAGUUAAGGUCAUUGACAAACUGCGCUUCCCUACCAAGCAGGAGAGCCAGCUCCGGAAUGAAGUGGCCAUUCUGCAGAGCCUGCGGCAUCCCGGGAUCGUGAACCUGGAGUGCAUGUUCGAGACGCCUGAGAAAGUGUUUGUGGUGAUGGAGAAGCUGCAUGGGGACAUGUUGGAGAUGAUCCUGUCCAGUGAGAAGGGCCGGCUGCCUGAGCGCCUCACCAAGUUCCUCAUCACCCAGAUCCUGGUGGCUUUGAGACACCUUCACUUCAAGAACAUUGUCCACUGUGACUUGAAACCAGAAAACGUGUUGCUGGCAUCAGCGGACCCAUUUCCUCAGGUGAAGCUGUGUGACUUUGGCUUUGCUCGCAUCAUCGGCGAGAAGUCGUUCCGCCGCUCAGUGGUGGGCACGCCGGCCUACCUGGCGCCCGAGGUGCUGCUCAACCAGGGCUACAACCGCUCGCUGGACAUGUGGUCAGUGGGCGUGAUCAUGUACGUCAGCCUCAGCGGCACCUUCCCUUUCAACGAGGAUGAGGACAUCAAUGACCAGAUCCAGAACGCCGCCUUCAUGUACCCGGCCAGCCCCUGGAGCCACAUCUCAGCUGGAGGUGCCUGGGGCCCGCCUACCCCAUGGGCGGCCAUUGACCUCAUCAACAACCUGCUGCAGGUGAAGAUGCGCAAACGCUACAGCGUGGACAAAUCUCUCAGCCACCCCUGGUUACAGGAGUACCAGACGUGGCUGGACCUCCGAGAGCUGGAGGGGAAGAUGGGAGAGCGAUACAUCACGCAUGAGAGUGACGAUGCGCGCUGGGAGCAGUUUGCAGCAGAGCAUCCGCUGCCUGGGUCUGGGCUGCCCACGGACAGGGAUCUAGGUGGGGCCCGUCCACCACAGGACCACGACAUGCAGGGGCUGGCGGAGCGCAUCAGUGUUCUCUGAGGUCCUGUGCCCUCGUCCAGCUGCUGCCCUCCACAGCGGUUCUUCACAGGAUCCCAGCAAUGAACUGUUCUAGGGAAAGUGGCUUCCUGCCCAAACUGGAUGGGACACGUGGGGAGUGGGGUGGGGGGAGCUAUUUCCAAGUCCCCUCCCUGUUUCCCCAGCAAUUAAAACGGACUCAUCUCUG
rnacentral:sRNA from 1 species